AGGGCUGUAGUUAAGAAUAACAUUUGUUUUGCAUACAAAAGGUAUUGAUUUAUCAAUCUGCCUU
rnacentral:tRNA from 1 species